UACGUAGGUGGCAAGCGUUGUCCGGAUUUAUUGGGUUUAAAGGGUGCGUAGGCGGCUUUGUAAGUCAGUGGUGAAAUAUGGCAGCUCAACUGUCAAGGUGCCAUUGAUACUGCGGAGCUUGAGUACAGAUGAGGUAGGCGGAAUUGACGGUGUGGCGGUGAAAUGCUUAGAUAUCGUCAAGAACACCGAUAGCGAAGGCAGCUUACUAGGCUGUAACUGACGCUGAGGCACGAAAGUGUGGGGAUCAAACAGG
rnacentral:rRNA from 1 species